UACGAAGGGUCCAAGCGUUGUUCGGAAUCAUUGGGCGUAAAGCGCGCGCAGGCGGAUCAGCAAGUCAGAUGUGAAAUCUCGAAGCUCAACUUCGAAACUGCGUCUGAAACUGCUAGUCUAGAGUGUCGGAGGGGGAAGGGGAAUUUCACGUGUAGGGGUAAAAUCCGUAGAGAUGUGAAGGAACACCGGGGGCGAAGGCGCCUUCCUGGACGACUACUGACGCUGAGGCGCGAAAGCUAGGGGAGCAAACGGG
rnacentral:rRNA from 1 species